rnacentral:rRNA from 1 species
AGAGUGAACGCUGGCGGUAGGCCUAACACAUGCAAGUCGAACGGCAGCACAGUAGGAGCUUGCUCUUACGGGUGGCGAGUGGCGGGCGGGUGAGGAAUACAUCGGAAUCUACCUUUUGGUGGGGGAUAACGUAGGGAAACUUACGCUAAUACCGCAUACGCCCUUCGGGGGAAAGCCGGGGACCAGCAGUGGCCUGGUGCUGAUAGAUGAGCCGAUGUCGGAUUAGCUAGUUGGUGAGGUAAUGGCUCACCAAGGCGACGAUCCGUAGCUGGUCUGAGAGGAUGAUCAGCCACACUGGAACUGAGACACGGUCCAGACUCCUACGGGAGGCAGCAGUGGGGAAUAUUGGACAAUGGGCGCAAGCCUGAUCCAGCCAUACCGCGUGGUGAAGAAGGCCUUGGUUGUAAAGCCCUUUGUUAGGAAAGAAAAGCAAUUCGGUUAAUACCGGGUAGUUCUGACGUACCCUAAAGAAUAAGACACCGGCUAACUCGUGCCAGCACGCCG